rnacentral:rRNA from 1 species
ACGGGAGGCAGCAGUGGGGGAUAUUGCACAAUGGGGGAAACCCUGAUGCAGCGACACCGCGUGAGUGAAGAAGUAUUUCGGUAUGUAAAGCUCUAUCAGCAGGAAAGAUAAUGACGGUACCUGACUAAGAAGCACCGGCUAAAUACGUGCCAGCAGCCGCGGUAAUACGUAUGGUGCAAGCGUUAUCCGGAUUUACUGGGUGUAAAGGGAGCGUAGACGGCAUGGCAAGCCAGAUGUGAAAGGCGGGGGCUCAACUCCUGGACUGCAUUUGGAACUGUCAAGCUAGAGUAUCGGAGAGGUAAGUGGAAUUCCUAGUGUAGCGGUGAAAUGCGUAGAUAUUAGGAGGAACACCAGUGGCGAAGGCGGCUUUCUGGACUGUAACUGACGCUGAGGUACGAAAGUGUGGGGAGCAAACAGGAUUAGAUACCCUGUA